ensembl:lncRNA
CUGAAAUGCAUGACAACCAUGCCGAUUUGAGUUGAGCAAGACUCACGUUUAACUGAGUCACCUCUGUAAAACCUUAUAGUUAAGAUGGGGCAGCUAGCUAGCUGAGUGAAUUUCAAAACGGAUUGGUUUGUUGUUCUGACAACGACAGACUAUACCUGUUGUCCUCGGCGCAUGUGACAAAUAAACUGUGAUUUGACAGACAGGCGCGGCCCUGUUGCGACAGGGAGGUACUGUGGUCCACAGGUCCUGUAGCGAUGCUGUGGGACCUUGAUCAACAACAACAAAUACUAAUUUGGCAAUGCCCUAAAACAAUACAAGCUGUAACGUUAGUAGGUCAAUUAAUUCACACUAGCUAGCUAGUAUAAUAAUAACAAGAUUUAUUUAGUUCACCAGUUUUCUAUAUCAUUCUGAUUCAGUAGCUACGGACUAUUUCGACCAAAUAAAUGAUGAUUUGUCUGUAAAGCUCGUGGAUCACAGAUAAUAUAACUAGGUAACUCACUGUCUGUCUGUCUGAUAAUAUAACUAGGUAACUGACUGUCUGUCUGAUAAUAUAACUAGGUAACUCACUGUCUGUCUGUCUGUCUGAUAAUAUAACUAGGUAACUCACUGUAUGUCUGUCUGAUAAUAUAACUAGGUAACUCACUGUCUGUCUGUCUGUCUGAUAAUAUAACUAGGUAACUCACUGUCUGUCUGUCUGAUAAUAUAACUAGGUAACUCACUGUAUGUCUGUC